AGGGAAGUUUGCACAACAGCUUUUUUUUUUAAUUUUGCAAGAGGAAAUCACUUGAAGCCGAUCCUUGGGCACGGAAGGUGGAGGAGAAGAGAAGAGAAGUGGGAGACGGUCAGAGAAGGAGAAAUAAUCGGGAGGGCCAGGGAAGCCCUUCUUCCACACUAAAGAAACAUGGCCUGAGUUAUCGCCAGUGCCUGCAGGUAUGUGGCAGCAAAAGUCAGAUCCUGCUGUUGCUUCUGCUGUAACGAUGACAAGGAGAGAUUAGAAUCUUCCGCUCAAGAAAAAGGUUACCCUGCAGGCGGAUGACAAAGAUCUCGGAAGGCGGAGCCCCCCAGAUGCACCAGUUCCAUCGUGGACCAACCUAGGGGCACAUGAGGCAGAUAAAGGGCCGCUCGUCGUUCGCAGGUCCUCUGGAACGAUGUCCGGUCCUCGUCUCCCCAUUUGAGAAGAGAGGUGCUUCCCAUCCUUCUACUUGGCGAUCUCAGACAACUCAUGAAAACAGGUUUAUAAACUCCCCUCAGAGCGGAGAUGAACCUGUUCAAUUAUCCUGUGUUUGCGGUACCAGUAGAGCCAACCCUUGAAACGACCAAAUCUUGAAAUUAUAUUGAAAGGAAAAAUUUAAUUUGUGGAAUAAAAAUGCAGUUGCUUGA